rnacentral:misc_RNA from 1 species
GAUGAAGAACGCAGCGAAAUGCGAUAAGUAAUGUGAAUUGCAGAAUUCAGUGAAUCAUCGAAUCUUUGAACGCACAUUGCGCCCUCUGGUAUUCCGGGGGGCAUGCCUGUUCGAGCGUCAUUAUAACCACUCAAGCUCUCGCUUGGUAUUGGAGUUCGCGAUCUCGCGGCUCCUAAAAUCAGUGGCGGUGCCUGUCGGCUCUACGCGUAGUAAUACUCCUCGCGAUUGAGUCCGGUAGGUUUACUUGCCAGCAACCCCCAAUUUUUACAGGUUGACCUCGGAUCAGGUAGGGAUACCCGCUGAACUUAAGCAUAUCAAAAGCGGAGGA